GGGGAAUAUUGGACAAUGGGCGAAAGCCUGAUCCAGCCAUGCCGCGUGUGUGAAGAAGGCCUUCGGGUUGUAAAGCACUUUAAGCGAGGAGGAAGGUUCGUUACUUAAUACGUAACGGAAUUGACGUUACUCGCAGAAUAAGCACCGGCUAACUCUGUGCCAGCAGCCGCGGUCAUACAGAGGGUGCAAGCGUUAAUCGGAAUCACUGGGCGUAAAGCGCGCGUAGGCGGUUGUGUAAGUUGGAUGUGAAAUCCCCGGGCUUAACCUGGGCACUGCAUUCAAAACUGCACGGCUAGAGUAUGGGAGAGGAAGGUAGAAUUCCAGGUGUAGCGGUGAAAUGCGUAGAGAUCUGGAGGAAUACCGAUGGCGAAGGCAGCCUUCUGGCCUAAUACUGACGCUGAGGUGCGAAAGCAUGGGGAGCAAAC
rnacentral:rRNA from 1 species